rnacentral:sRNA from 1 species
AAAUUCUUUUAUAAUUAUUAGGUGUCACAUUUUAAUUGGCUAGAAUAAAGGAGGUGAAUAAAGGAGGUGAACCCAAAUAUUUUUCUUUUUUUUCGUCAAAAACUUAU